UUCUUUUCAUAACUCUUAAAGAACCGCUUUCCGCUUAAUGCGGCGUCUUGGUUAAUACCCCAACCCGCUUCGUGCGGGGUCACGGUUAUUACCCAAUCCCGUUUCGUGCAGGUCUCGAUUAUUACCUCAACCCGCUUCGUGCGGGAUCCCGGUUAUUACCUCAACCCGCUUCGUGCAGGUCCCGGUUAUUACCCUAACCCGCUUCGUGCGGGGUCUUGGUUAUUACCCCAACCUGUUUCGUGCAGGUCCCGUGUGUUACCCCAACCCGCUUUGUGCGGGUCCCGUGUGUUAUCCCAACCCGUUUCGUGUGGGGUCCCGGAUAUUACCCCAACCCGCUUCGUGCGGGUCCCGGUUAUUACCCCAGCUUGCUUCGUGCGGCGUCCCGGUUAUUACCCUAACCCGUUUCGUGCGGCGUCUUUGUUAUUACCUUAACCCGCUUCGUGCGGCGUCCCGGUUAUUACCCCUUACUGUUUCGUGCGGUGUUCCUCUUAUUACCCCUUACUGCUUCAUGCGGUGUCUCGGUUAUUACCCCAACCCCGUUUCGUGCGGGGUCCUGGUUAUCACCCAACCCGUUUCGUGCGGCGUCCAGGUUAUCACCCAACCCGCUUCGUGCGGCGUCCCGGUUAUCACCCAAACCGUAUAGUGCGGCGUCCAGGUUAUUACCCCAACCCGCUUUGUGCGUUAUUCCGGUUAUUACCCUAACCCGUUUCGUGCGGGUCCCGGUAAUUACCUUAACCCCGUUUCGUGCGGCGUCUCGGUUAUUACCCCAGCUUGCUUUGUGCGGGUCCCGUGUGAUACCCAAAACAGUUUCGUGCGAGGUUCCGGUUAUUACCCCAGCUUGCUUCGUGCGGCGUNNNNNNNNNNNNNNNNNNNNUCCGUGCGGCGUCCCGGUUAUUACCCCUUACUGCUUCGUGCGGUGUCUUGGUUAUUACCCUAACCCCGCUUCGUGCGGGGUCCUGGUUAUCACCCAACCCGUUUCGUGCGGCGUCCCGGUUAUCACCCUAACCCGCUUUGUGCGUUGUCCCGGUUAUUACCCUAACCCGCUUCAUGCGAUGUCCCGGUUAUUACCCCAACCCGUUUUGUGCGGUGUCCCGGGUAUUACCCUAACCCGCUUCGUGCGGGUCCCGGUUAUUACCCCAAACCCGCUUCGUGCGAUGUCUCGGUUAUUACCCCAGCUCGUUUUAUGCGGCGUCCCGGUUAUUACCCCUUACUGCUUUGUGCGGCGUCCUGGUUAUUACCCUAACCCGCUUCGUGCGACCUCCUGGUUACUACCCCUUACUGUUUCGUGCGGGGUCCCUGUUAUUACCCCAACCCGCUUCGUGCAGGUCCCGGUUAUUACCACAACCCGCUUCGUGCGACGUCCCGGUUAUUACCCCAACCUGCUUGGUGCGGCGUACCGGUUAUUACCCCAACUCCGCUUUGUGCGGUGUCCCGGUUAUCCCGGUUAUUACCACAACCUAGCUUCGUGCACCGUCUGGUUAUCACCUAACCCGUUUCGUGCGGCGUCCCGGUUAUUACCCCAACCCGCUUCGUGCGUUAUCCCGGUUAUUACCCUAACCAGCUACGUGCGGGUCCCGGUUAUUACCCCAACCCGUUUCAUGCGGGUCCCGGUUAUUACCCCAACCCCGCUACGUGCGGUGUCUCGAUUAUUUUCCCAGAUCGUUUCGUGCGGCGUCCCGGUUCUUACUCCAACCCGCUUCGUGCGUUAUCCCGGUUAUUACCCUAACCAGCUUCGUGCGGGUCUCGGUUAUUACCUUAACCCGUUUCGUGCGGGUCCCGGUUAUUACCCCAACCCCGCUUCGUGCGGCGUCACGGUUAUUACCCAGCUCGCUUCGUGCGGCGUCUCGAUUAUUUACCCUAGAUCGCUUCGUGCGGCGUCCCGGUUCUUACCCAAACCCGUUUCGUGUGGCGUCCCGUUUAUUUACCCAACCCGCUUCGUGUGGCGUCUAGGUUAUUACCCUUUACUGCUUCGUGCGGUGUCCCUGUUAUUACCCAAACCCCGCUUCGUGCGGGGUCCUGGUUAUCACUCAACCCCGCUUCGUGCGGUGUUCCGGUUAUCACCCAACCCGUUUCGUGCGGUGUCCACAUUAUUACCCCAACCCGCUUUGCGCGUUAUUCCGGUUAUUACCCUAACUCGUUUCGUGCGGGUCCUGGUAAUUACCCUAACCCUGCUCCGUGCGGCGUCUCGGUUAUUACUCCAGAUCGUUUUGUGCGGGUCCUGUGUGAUACCCUAAACAGUUUCGUGCGGGGUUUCGGUUAUUACCCCAGCUUACUUCGUGCGGCGUCCCGGUUAUUACCCCUUACUGCUUCGUGCGGUGUCCAGGUUAUCACCCUAACCUCGCUUCGUGCGUUGUCCCGGUUAUUGCCCUAACCCGUUUUGUGCGGAGUCCUGGAUAUUACCCGAACCCGCUUCGUGCGGGUCUCGGUUGUUACCCCAACCCCGCUUCGUGCGGCGUCCCGGUUAUUACACCAACCCGCUUCGUGCGGCGACCUGAUCACUACCCCUUACUGCUUCGUACGAGGUCCCCGUUAUUACCCCAACCCGCUUCGUGCGACGUCCCGGUUAUUACCCUAACCCGCUUCGUGCUGCGUACUGGUUAUUACCCCAACUCCGCUUCCUGCGGGGUCCCGGUUAUUACCCUUAGUGCUUCGUGUGUUGUCCCGGUUAUUACCCUAACCCGCUUCAUGCGUUGUCCCGGUUAUUACCCUAACCCGCUUCGUGCGUUGUCACGGUUAUUACCCUAACCGCUUCGUGCGGCGUCCUGGUUAUUAACCUAACCCUCUUCGUGCGUUGUCCUAGGUAUUACCCCAACCCGUUUUGUGCGGAGUCCCGGGUGUUACCCUAACCCGCUUCGUGCGGGUCUCGGUUAUUACCCCAACCCCGCUUUGUGCGGCGUCUCGGUUAUUACCCCAGUUCGCUUCGUGCGGCUUCCCGGUUAUUACCCCUUA
rnacentral:lncRNA from 1 species